rnacentral:rRNA from 1 species
UACGUAGGGGGCGAGCGUUGUCCGGAGUUACUGGGCGUAAAGCGCUUGUAGGCGGUCCACCAAGUUUGGGGUGACAGUUGCCGACUUAAUCGGCAAAGUGCCUCAAAGACUGGCGGACUUGAGGGCCACAGAGGGACAUGGAACUCCAGGUGUAGUGGUGAAAUGCGUAGAUAUCGUCAGGAAUGCCGGUGGUGAAGACGGGUGACUGGGCUGGUUCUGACACUGAGGCACGAAAGCGUGGGGAGCGAACGGG